CCGCGAGCGGCUAGAGGCCCACGGAAGCCCUAGAGACCGCGAGUAUACGAACCGGACGGAACGGGACGCGGAAUGACGGCGAGGGAGAGAUUGGCACGUCUGAUCGAAUCUACCUGACGAGAGACGGCGCAGGCAGAUGCCUCACGGACAGAGCCAAGUUCAUCCCCCCGGCCUCUGGGGUGUACCCGGGAUCAGGUCUUCACUGAGCGUACCCCCAGAACCAGGGGGGGGGCUCACCUGAAAGCUGCUGCCAGAUGACUGACAGCAGCCACCGCACAGGAUUAGUGAAUGUAUAGGAGCUGUAGUGUGUGUGUGUGUGUGUGUGUGUGUGUGUGUGUGUGUGUGUGUGUGUGUGUGUGUGUGUGUGUGUGUGUGUGUGUGUGUGUGUGUGUGUGUGUGUGUGUGUGUGUGUGUGUGUGCAUAGCCUCUGUACCAUGAGGAUGUUAGGUGUGUGUGUGUGUGUGUGUGUGUGUGUGUGUGUACCUAUACUAUCUAUACCCUGAGAAUGUGAGUGUGUGUGUGUGUGUGUGUGUGUGUGGGGGAUGAGUUCUGUAGGGAGACAAUGGAGGGGGUGUGUGUGUGUGUGUGUGUGUGUGUG
ensembl:lncRNA